rnacentral:lncRNA from 1 species
CACCCUCCAACCCACCUCCAGAUUCCUCCGUCCAUCAUUCCCUUCGCGGUUCAUUGGUCCUAAUGCAUCACCACUAGCCCCAUCUAAGUCAUACACCACUCCCACCAGAGGUGCCUCCUUUAAGACUGCCGUCGCCUCCAUUGAAUCCGACCAGCUUAGUUCUUCUGAUCCUGCCAACAUGGUAGCUCUGCCUUCCUUUUCCCCCUUUUUUAUUUUUUCCUUUUUUUCUCUUGUUUAAUAUCAAAAUCUCUGUGAUGGAGCUGGGCGCGUUUGAACUUGGUUUUUAUUACUAUGUAGCAGCAAGAGCAAGGCAGUGGCAAGUACUAUUUUGUGGUGGCCAACGCAAAAUUUAUGCUGGACGAAGAGGAGCAUUUCAAGGAGCUUUUGUUCGAGCGCCUCCGCUAUUAUGGAGAGCGUAGCAAAGAGCAGGACUUCUGGCUUGUCAUUGAACCCAAGUUCUUGGAUAAAUUUCCCAACA